rnacentral:rRNA from 1 species
UACGGAGGGUGCAAGCGUUAUCCGGAUUCACUGGGUUUAAAGGGUGCGUAGGUGGGUUGGUAAGUCAGUGGUGAAAUCUCCGUGCUUAACAUGGAAACUGCCAUUGAUACUACUGGUCUUUGAAUUUUCUGGAGGUAAGCGGAAUAUGUCAUGUAGCGGUGAAAUGCUUAGAUAUGACAUAGAACACCAAUUGCGUAGGCAGCUUACUACACGAUCAUUGACGCUGAGGCACGAAAGCGUGGGGAGCAAACAGG